UAGGAUUCCCUUAGUAACGGCGAGUGAACCGGGAUGAGCUCAAAUUUAAAAUCUGGCGUCUUUCAGGCGUCCGAGUUGUAAUCUAUAGAGGCGUUUUCCGCGCCGGACCGCGUCCAAGUCUCUUGGAAUAGAGUAUCAAAGAGGGUGACAAUCCCGUACUUGACGCGACAACCGGUGCUCUGUGAUACGUUCUCAAUGAGUCGAGUUGUUUGGGAAUGCAGCUCUAAAUGGGUGGUAAAUUCCAUCUAAGGCUAAAUAUUGGCGAGAGACCGAUAGCGAACAAGUACCGUGAGGGAAAGAUGAAAAGCACUUUGGAAAGAGAGUUAAACAGCACGUGAAAUUGUUAAAAGGGAAACGAUUGAAGUCAGUCGUGUGAAAGGUAUUCAGCCGUCUCUGGCGGUGUAUUUGCCUUUCACGGGUCAACAUCAGUUUGAUCCGGUAGAAAAAGGCGGGAGGAAGGUGGCACCCUCGGGUGUGUUAUAGCCUCCUGUCAUAUGUGCCGGACCAGACUGAGGAACGCAGCUUGCCGCAAGGCCGGGGUUCGCCCACGUACAAGCUUAGGA
rnacentral:rRNA from 1 species